rnacentral:rRNA from 1 species
CAAAAACAUAGUCCCUUUGGAUAAUAGGGAUGCUUUCUGCUCAGUGAGAAAUUAAAUAGCCGCAGUACCCUGACUGUGCUAAGGUAGCAUAAUCAGUUGUCUUCUAAUUAAAGUCUUGUAUGAAUGAAUAUAUGAGGGUAAGCUAUAUUAUAAUAAUAUUAAAAGUUACUUAGUGAGUGAAAAUGCUCAUAAAUAAAUAAUAGACGAGAAGACCCUAGAAAUUUUAAUAUUUUUUUUUGUUGGGGCAACAUAGUAACAUUCAACUUACUUUAUAUACAUGAAAUUAUAUUGGUUUGAUUAAAUUACUCUAGGGAUAACAGCAUAAUUUAAAAAUGAUUGUGACCUCGAUGUUGGAUUAGGAAAUCAAAGUCUAAACGAUUAUUG